ensembl:lncRNA
GCCCCUGAACAAAAAUAAUUCAAUUCUUUAAAGGUUCAACGUUCAUAAAUAAUUGUCAAUGCGUAAAUUCCUUGCAAAUAAGUAAUAUAAAGGACAGCAUGAGGCAUAUCUAGCAAGAUGAUUAUGGUACAGAGAGAACCAUAUGUUUUUAUAGAGCAAAUAAUUUAACUCAAGUAAAUUGCCAUAGAAAGUGAUAAACCUUACUUGCCUCCAUUGCCGAAGUUCGUACAUAUCUGGGAAUGGACUUUGUGAAAUUUGACAAAAUAUUGAAAUGGAAAAUUUGUCAAAGAUUUAAAUUUGCAGUACUACAAAUCUGAAUUUGCCGGUGUUGAUGUUCAUAGGACCAAGUGCAAGUACUAAAAAUCGCUAGGUUAAACCAUUCCCCGUAUACAGCAGCUAUAGCUAGCUAAUGCAGAUGCUAGACAAUUAAGUAAUAUGAAUAAAUACAACACACAGGUUAGCUACCAGGCGAAAGGCUCCCAACACAGUUGCGUUGGAGCAAACUACCUUCCAAGCUACCAGGUGAAACGCUCCCAACACAGUUGCGUUGGAGCAACUACCUUCCAAGCUACCAGGUGAAACGCUCCCAACACAGUUGCGUUGGAGCAACUAGCUUCCAGGCUACCAGGUGAAACGCUCCCAACACAGUUGCGUUGGAGCAAACUACCUUCCAAGCUACCAGGUGAAACGCUCCCAACACAGUUGCGUUGGAGCAAACUACCUUCCAGGCUACCAGGUGAAACGCUCCCAACACAGUUGCGUUGGAGCAAACUACCUUCAAGGCUACCAGGUGAAAAGCUCCCAACACAGUUGCGUUGGAGCAAACUACCUUCCAAGCUACCAACACAGUUGCGUUGGAGCAAACUAGCUUCCAGGCUACCAGGUGAAACGCUCCCAACACAAUUGCAUUUGCUGUACAGUCAGUAUGUUUACAUACACAUCUUAUAGCCAUAGGUCGACUAUACUCCCCAAUUGGACAACUGCAAUUGUCCGAGUACAUAUUUCAGAUUAUAUUGCACAGAAUAAAACCACAUUGCAAUGACUUAAAAUCGUAGUGCAUAGAAUUGCAAAGAAUUGAAAUCAUA